UACGAGGGGUGCAAGCGUUGCUCGGAAUUAUUGGGCGUAAAGGGUAGGUAGGUGGUCUCGUUUGUCUGGGGUGAAAGCCUUGAGCUUAACUCAAGAAGUGCCCCAGAAACGGCGAGACUAGAGUACUGGAGAGGGUCGUGGAAUUCCCGGUGUAGCGGUGAAAUGCGUAGAGAUCGGGAGGAACACCAGAGGCGAAGGCGGCGACCUGGACAGUAACUGACACUCAACUACGAAAGCGUGGGGAGCAAACAGG
rnacentral:rRNA from 1 species